AUUGAUUAAGAAGAAAAACUCUUAUAAAUAGAUUUACAAUCUAUCGCCUAUUU
rnacentral:tRNA from 1 species